rnacentral:rRNA from 1 species
GGGAAGCCUGCUUCGAGAUGAGUGUUCCCACCCCCUUUGAGGGGUUAAGGCUCCCAGUAGACGACUGGGUUGAUAGGCCAGAUGUGGAAGCCCGGCAACGGGUGGAGCUGACUGGUACUAAUAGGCCGAGGGCUUGUCCUC